rnacentral:lncRNA from 1 species
UUGAAAUUUCCAGAAAGCAGCAAAAUCCAUAGUACCUUCCAUGCAUCCAGAUUGAAGCAAUUUCAAGGACCAAUUCCUGAAAAUACAGAAAAUAGGGAGCCACUGUAAACAAGAGAAAAUCAGCCAAUAAUAUACCCUAUGGCUAUAAUUGAUGAGCGUGAGGUCUGGAAAGGAAAGAAAACAGUAAAUUAAAGCAGUUAUUGAUACAAUGGAAUGGAGCCUUACCAGAGGACUCAUCGUGGGAAGACCGGGCAGCGCUACAAGCAGCUUUUCCUGCUCUAAACCUUGAGGACAAGGUCAGCAUUGAAGGAGGGGGUGAUGAUACAGUAGCUAUCGACUACGACCAGAUCGCAGAUGACGUCGCCGGGAUUCUGAAAUCCGUCGCCGAGGAGAGCGC